rnacentral:rRNA from 1 species
UACGUAGGGUGCGAGCGUUGUCCGGAAUUAUUGGGCGUAAAGAGCUCGUAGGCGGUGUGUCACGUCGGCCGUGAAAACCUGCAGCUUAACUGUGGGCGUGCGGUCGAUACGGGCAUCACUGGAGUUCGGCAGGGGAGACUGGAAUUCCUGGUGUAGCGGUGAAAUGCGCAGAUAUCAGGAGGAACACCGGUGGCGAAGGCGGUUCUCUGGGCCUGACCUGACGCUGAGGAGCGAAAGCGUGGGGAGCGAACAGG